GAUGAACGCUGGCGGCGUGCCUAAUACAUGCAAGUCGAGCGAACAGACGAGGAGCUUGCUCCUUUGACGUUAGCGGCGGACGGGUGAGUAACACGUGGAUAACCUACCUAUAAGACUGGGAUAACUUCGGGAAACCGGAGCUAAUACCGGAUAACAUGUUGAACCGCAUGGUUCAACAGUGAAAGACGGUCUUGCUGUCACUUAUAGAUGGAUCCGCGCCGCAUUAGCUAGUUGGUAAGGUAACGGCUUACCAAGGCAACGAUGCGUAGCCGACCUGAGGGGGUGAUCGGCCACACUGGAACUGAGACACGGUCCAGACUCCUACGGGAGGCAGCAGUAGGGAAUCUUCCGCAAUGGGCGAAAGCCUGACGGAGCAACGCCGCGUGAGUGAAGAAGGUCUUCGGAUCGUAAAACUCUGUUAUUAGGGAAGAACAAAUGUGUAAGAAACUAUGCACGUUUUGACGGUACCUAAUCAGAAAGCCACGGCUAACUACGUG
rnacentral:rRNA from 1 species